rnacentral:rRNA from 1 species
AGAUUCCUGGAAUGGGUUUUGGUCUAAAUGGAGUAACAGCAUCUUGUUAUUUCCGCUCGAGGAUGGGACUGCGGCCGAUCAGGCUGUUGGUGGGGUAAAGGCCCACCAAACCAGUAACCGGUACGGGCAUUGAGAGAUGGAGCCCGGAGAUGGACACUGAGACAAGGGUCCAGGUCCUACGGGGCGCAGCAGGCGCGAAACCUUCGCAAUGCGCGAAAGCGCGACGAGGUUAUUCCGAGUGAUUCCCGCUGAGGGAAUCUUUUCUCAGAUCCAAAAAGUCUGGGGAAUAAGGGGAGGGCAAGUCUGGUGUCAGCCGCCGCGGUAAUACCAGCUCCUCGAGUGGUCAGGGCGUUUAUUGGGCCUAAAGCAUCCGUAGCCGGCUAAGUAGGUCUCCUGUUAAAUCCAACGGCUCAACCGUUGGUCUGCAGGAGAUACCGCUAGGCUAGGAGGCGGGAGAGGCGGACGGUACUCCGAGGGUAGGGGUAAAAUCCUUUGAUCCCCGGAAGACCACCAGUGGCGAAGGCGGUCCGCCAGAACGCGCUCGACGGUGAGGGAUGAAAGCUGGGGGAGCGAACCGGAUUAGAUACCCGGGUAGUCCCAGCUGUAAACGAUGCGAGCUAGGUGACACGACGCCUUCGGGGCAUCGUGGUGCCGCAGGGAAGCCGUUAAGCUCGCCGCC